CCCCCGGGUGACGCAGUGGGAUAAGCGUAGCGCGCCCAUCGGACAUGGCGCGUCCCCCAGGCCGGGAGGCCGCGGGGAAAGUUGCGGAGAGAUCCAAGGCGAUUCUGUUGAGUCCGUACUGUCCAGAAAAGCCCGGGCGGAGGCGCCGAUCACCCGUACCGCAAACCGACACUGGUGGGCGGGGGCAAGUGCUCCAAGGGGAUCGAGAGAACCCUCGUUAAGGAACUCGGCAAGAAUGACCCCGUAACUUCGGGAUAAGGGGUGCCUUUGGAGGUGACAGUUCAACGGCGCUGUUUUCGGAUAGUGCCGCAAAGAAGGAGCCACCGGAGGCCGCAGUGAGCGGGCCCAAGCGACUGUUUAACAAAAACACAGGUUUCUGCAAAGGCGCAAGCCGAUGUAUAGGAGCCGAUACCUGCCCAGUGCCGGAAGGUUAAGGGGAGAGGUUAGCGUAAGCGAAGCUUUGAGCCGAAGCCCCGGUGAACGGCGGCCGUAACUAUAACGGUCCUAAGGUAGCGAAGUCCCUUGUCGGGUAAGUUCCGACCCGCACGAAAGGUGUAACGACUUGGGCGCUGUCUCAACGAGGGACUCGGUGAAAUUGAAGUACCCGUGAAGAUGCGGGUUUCCCGCGACUGGACAAAAAGACCCCAUGGAGCUUUACUGCAGCUUGGCAAUGAGUCGAAGCCCGGCAUGUGUAGCAUAGGUGGGAGGCUUUGAAGCCCCGACGCUAGUCGGGGUGGAGCCGUCAUUGAAAUACCACUCUUGUCAGGUUUUUACUCUAACCUGUGAACAAGCACAGAGACAUUGCCUGGUGGGCAGUUUGACUGGGGCGGUCGCCUCCCAAAAGGUAACGGAGGCGUCCCAAGGUCCCCUCAGCACGGAUGGAAAUCGUGCAUAGAGUGCAUUGGCAUAAGGGGGCUUGACUGUGAGACUGACAGGUCGAGCAGGGACGAAAGUCGGGCAAAGUGAUCCUACGGAUCCGCAUGGAAGGUCCGUGGCUUAACGGAUAAAAGCUACCCUGGGGAUAACAGGCUGAUCUUGCCCAAGAGUUCACAUCGACGGCAAGGUUUGGCACCUCGAUGUCGGCCCGUCGCAUCCUGGGGCUGGAGUCGGUCCCAAGGGUCCGGCUGUUCGCCGGUUAAAGCGGUACGCGAGCUGGGUUCAGAACGUCGUGAGACAGUUCGGUCUCUAUCCGUCGUGGGCGUUGCAGACUUGAGGGGACCUCUCUCUAGUACGAGAGGAUCGAGAGGGACUGACCUCUGGUGCGCCAGUUGUCGUGCCAACGGCAAUGCUGGGUAGCUACGUCAGGUCAGGAUAAGCGCUGAAAGCAUCUAAGUGCGAAACCACCCCCAAGACCAGGUCUGCCAUCCCCCGCAAGGGGGAGUAAGGUCGCCGGUAGACCACCGGCUUGAUAGGCGGCAUGUGUAAGCGCGGUAACGCGUUCAGCUGAGCCGUACUAAUGACCGAGGCCUUGACC
rnacentral:rRNA from 1 species